UACGAAGGGGGCUAGCGUUGCUCGGAAUCACUGGGCGUAAAGGGUGCGCAGGCGGCCGCGCGCGUAGGGGGUGAAAUCUCCUGGCUCAACUGGGAGGGGGCUUCCUAGACGGCGCGGCUUGAGGCUCGGCGGGGGGCGCGGAAUUCCGGGUGGAGCGGUGAAAUGCGUAGAGAUCCGGAGGAACACCGACAGCGUAGGCAGCGCCCUGGACGAGUUCUGACGCUCAGGCACGAAAGCUGGGGGAGCAAACAGG
rnacentral:rRNA from 1 species